CCAAAUCCAUCUUGUCCGGCCUCCGGACUCCGCGAAUCUCUUCUCCACUUCUUUCUACGUUGCUACUGGUUGGAAAUCUCUACUCAACUUCUACCUACGUUGUUGUCGAUCCUCCAAGGUUCGAUUGUUUUAUUCUCAAAUCCUCAGAGCUUAUUAUUAUUAAAAACUUAAAGUCUACCUAUUUUUGAUCUUGCUUUUCCGACAAAUCUAUCGACGACGUCUUUUUUUUUUUUUAUCUCUGAAUUUGGGGGAGGGGGAGGAGUGAUGAUGAGCUGCAGACUUGUAGUAGAGGAGAAUGGGAGAAAUAAUACUUCUAGAUUCUGGAAUGGGAGAAUGGGAGAAAUAAUUACCAUCCUGAAUGUGUUCAUAGUCAUACUGGAAGUUUAGAGGAGACAAUGUGAUUGUACUGGUCAGAUCAAAUAUAACAGUUCCCUUGAACGCUACAUCACUUCUCCUCAUUCUAAAUUUCAGGAAAUGGUAUUUUCUUGAAGCUAAGAAUAAAAAUAAAACAUGGUCGGAACACAACACAGAAUUCCAGUAACCCCAAAGCGUGGUAUCACUAUGGCCAGGAUUAGGGUCUAAAGGAUUAAGGUGCCUGAUAGAUUACAACCUAAUAUGUUUAUAAUUUACAAAUAGGAAUUUUUAGUCCUAUCAAUGCCCUGACCCAGCCAUCUUACCCAUGAAUAUGAGGUUGAAGAUUCAUCAUUAAGAGGAAGGAAACCUUCCAGGAAUUGCAUCAAUAUUUGAAUUUGAAUGUUAGCUUGUUAUAAUUUGAAGAUAAUAUUUGAAUUUACUUGUAGUAAGGACUUUAACCAUAUCUUAGAAAAUUCUGAAAUGAAUGAGGUCUGAAGACCCUCUUUGUGAGUAUAUAAAUAUAUCAGCUCUUUGUAGAGUAUUAGAUAUAUAGAUGAUCCUGGUUUUCUUUCUUCAAUUCUUUCCCGAAUGAAGUUAUAGUCAAGAGUCAUGUGCUUCAUCUUGCUGUGGAAGGUUGAAUUGGGAAAAAAUUGUGUAGCCCUCCCGGCCAAGGUUGUCAUACCAAAUUGUUGAUGGUUGCCCUCCAUACUUGAAAGAUUAUUCAAUCAUCAAGUAGAUUCACGAGUGCUGACUUAGUUACUUGUUGUCUUAGUCAAGGUUUGAAAUAAGUCGUUAAAUUACUUUUAAAUAUAAAUGUUAAUUUAUUGUUAGUGUUUAACAUGUGAGCUACUGGGUUUAGUAUGUGGUAGUCAGAUUCGGUUUUUGUUUUCUUCAAUCAAAACUAUUUUGAUUUUUCUUGUUUAGUUUUAACUUUUUUCUUCUUCCGGUAAUCUCUCUGAUGAGGUGCAUCGUAAUAUCACAUGGUGUCUAGAUAAUCACGAUUUUAUAUUAUUUAGAAAUGUUUAGUUAGAGUUAGUUAUUUUUGUAUAAGUUUUUUUGAAUACUUAUUUUAAUAGUUUUUUCAUUUAAAUAUUGAUUUUUAAAUAUUUAAAUACUUAUUUUUGGAUCAUUCAUUUUUGCAUUUGAUAAAAUCUAAAUUCUUUGCUUUCAAAAAAAAAUCUGAAUUCUUAAACAUCGAUCAACUUAUUAAUUAUGUUUUUAUUUUAUAAAAUAGAUGUUUUAUAUAAAUCAUUUACUGGUUUACUAGUAUUUUAUUACAUAUAUGAUAUAUCUGAUCACAAAUAUAUCUGAUUACUCCAGUCCGGCCACUCCAGUUCGGCAACUUCCAGUUCGGCAACUUCCAGUCCUUUGGUAACACUCUAGUCCGGCAACUUCGAGGUAAGAGUCUUUUGGUACUUUUGGGUAUUUUCGAUCCCUAAAAUUUAUAAACUCUUAGUUUCUAUCGACUAUCAUAUGAUUCACAUCGUGUUUAAUUUUAUAGUUUUAUUGUUUUAAGUUUUUAUAAUAAAAGUUUUACUGUUUUAAGUGUUUAAUUAUAAAUAUCGACUAUCAUAAGUUUUACUCUUUUUUUUGCUGAUUUAUUCUGUUUCACAUUAGGCUAUAGUGGUGCAUCAAUUUCAAUUUUGUAUGUUUAUUAAUCAUUGUCUUAUUUCAACCUUAUCCUACUUUUGUAGUUCUAUACUUUUAUUAUCCGUUCUGUUUUCAUGAUUUGAUGUUAAUAAAUAUUCUAAAUAAAUGUUUAUUUAGAACUCUCUGUUAUAUUAUGUUAGAUUUUAUAUUAUUUAGAAAUGUUUAGUUAGAGUUAGUUAUUUUUGUAUAAGUUUUUUGAAUACUUAUUUUAAUACCUUUUUCAUUUAAAUAUUGAUUUUUAAGAGGUAUCUUUUAAUUUGUAUGUUAGGAGAUAGACUAAAAUGACUGAUCAAAUAGAAGGGCUUG
rnacentral:lncRNA from 1 species